GCCGGGCGUUGUGGCGGGCGCCUGUGUUCCCAGCUACUUGGGAGGCUGAGGCAGGAGACCCACUUGAGCCCAGGAGUUGGAGGUUGCUAUGAGCGUGAUGCCAUGGCACUCUACCCAGGGGGACAGCUUGAGGCUCUGUCUCAAAAAAAAAAAGAAGAGGCAAACCUAUUUUGCAAAUGCACCGGUAAGUUAUUUUUCAUAAUAUCUUUUUUUUUUUUAGAGAGAAUCUCAAGCUGUUCUGGGUGGCAGCAUAGCUUACAGCAACCUCCAACGCUGGGGCUCAGGUGAUUCUCCUGC
rnacentral:sRNA from 1 species